UACGUAGGCAGCGAGCGUUGUUCGGAGUUACUGGGCGUAAAGCGUGCGCAGGCGGUGAUGUAAGACAGAUGUGAAAUCCCCGGGCUCAACUUGGGAACUGCAUUUGUGACUGCAUCGCUGGAGUGCGGCAGAGGGGGAUGGAAUUCCGCGUGUAGCAGUGAAAUGCGUAGAUAUGCGGAGGAACACCGAUGGCGAAGGCAAUCCCCUGGGCCUGCACUGACGCUCAUGCACGAAAGCGUGGGGAGCAAACAGG
rnacentral:rRNA from 1 species